GGUGGGAUGCGAGAGCGGUUGAAUCGGCUGGUUUCGAAAACCAUGCGAGGCGAAAGCCUCACGGGGGUUCAAAUCCCUCUCCCACCGCCA
rnacentral:tRNA from 1 species